rnacentral:pre_miRNA from 1 species
GGAAUAUAAGAACCCGUCUCUUAAUUUUUAACUAAAAAGCUAAAAACCGGUUCUUAAAUAAGAGUUUUAAGAACCGGUUCUUAGCUUUUUUAGUUAAAAGUUAAGAGACGAGUUUUUAUAUUCC